rnacentral:rRNA from 1 species
AGGACGAACGCUGGCGGCGUGCUUAACACAUGCAAGUCGAGCGGACAUCUUCGGAUGUUAGCGGCGAACGGGUGAGUAACACGUGGGCAACCUGCCCCUAGCUCUGGGAUAACUCCGGGAAACCGGGCUAAUACUGGAUAUGACCGAUCCAUGCAUGUGGGUUGGUGGAAAGUUUUUCGGCUAGGGAUGGGCCCGCGGCCUAUCAGCUUGUUGGUGGGGUGAUGGCCUACCAAGGCGACGACGGGUA